UACGCAGGCGGCUUGGUAAGACAGAUGUGAAAUCCCCGGGCUUAACCUGGGAACUGCAUUUGUGACUGCCUGGCUCGAGUCUGUCAGAGGGGGGUGGAAUUCCACGUGUAGCAGUGAAAUGCGUAGAGAUGUGGAGGAACACCGAUGGCGAAGGCAGCCCCCUGGGAUGAGACUGACGCUCAUGUACGAAAGCGUGGGGAGCAAACAGGAUUAGAUACCCUGGUAGUCCACGCCCUAAACGAUGUCGACUAGUUGUCGGGGAUUCAUUUUCUCGGUAACGCAGCUAACGCGUGAAGUCGACCGCCUGGGGAGUACGGUCGCAAGAUUAAA
rnacentral:rRNA from 1 species